GAGGGAAUAUUGGACAAUGGGGGAAACCCUGAUCCAGCAAUUCCGCGUGAGCGAAGAAGGCCUUCGGGUUGUAAAGCUCUUUCGGCGGGGACGAUAAUGACGGUACCCGCAGAAGAAGCCCCGGCCAACUACGUGCCAGCAGCCGCGGUAAUACGGAGGAUCCGAGCGUUAUCCGGAAUUAUUGGGUUUAAAGGGUCCGUAGGCGGGAGAAUUAGUCAGUGGUGAAAGUCUGUGGCUCAACCAUAGAAUUGCCGUUGAAACUGGUUUCCUUGAGUCAUUAUGAAGUGGUUAGAACAUGUAGUGUAGCGGUGAAAUGCAUAGAUAUUACAUAGAAUACCGAUUGCGUAGGCAGAUCACUAAUAAUGUACUGACGCUGAGGGACGAAAGCGUAGGUAGCGAACAGGAUUAGAUACCCUGGUAGUCUACGCCGUAAACGAUGGUUACUAGCUGUUUGUCCGAUUGAGGAUGAGUGGUUAAGCGAAAGUGAUAAGUAACCCACCUGGGGAGUACGUUCGCAAGAAUG
rnacentral:rRNA from 1 species